ACAGAAUGACCUUGAGACCCUGGUCCUCCCUUUCUCUACCGUCUGAGCCCUUGGAUUACAGCCUUGGGAAGUUAUCAAGGGACAAAGUCACCCUGCGGCCUUGCUUAGAAGAGUUCUCAUCAAGGGCAUGCCCAGCUAGCUCCUUAAGGGCUGGAGAAAAGAAGUAAUGGAGAACAGCAAAGUAAUUAACUAUGUACUCAGACCCUCUGCACAUCGAUGACUGUAACCUGGAGCUCACUGGUCUAGCCAGCUGGCUAGCGAGUAGUUCCCGGGAUCCCACCUCUGCGUCUGUCCCCCCAGCACUAGGACUGUAGAACUUUACAGCUACUAGGAGUGGUGGCACACGCUGUUGAUCCCAGCACUCAGGAGGCAGAGACAAGAGGACCACUGUCUGCCCAGCCCAGCGAACCAUAAUUUCUGUUAAUUCCUCUAUAAAAGCAAUGCUGUGAACCACAGUUCGAUCAUGCUCCAAUUAGUAUAUGAGCAACACAAAUUGGACUCGAUGCUAAAACAUAAUGAUUGGAACCUCCAGUAAACACCACAGCGUUGUGAAGCCAGGCAGCAAAAUAGCAGUGCACAGAGUGACAUGGAGCUGGCAGGAACUGCCACCACGUGCUGUCACAGACCCGAUGACGCCAGCGUAUCUGCGAGGACACUGACAUAAAUGCACUACGAUGCUGCUGGAUGCAUCAAGUGCAGCACCAUGCUACUGGUGUUUGUCCUUGAAUUGAGCAAAUUCAUAAUAAGAUAAUAUGUUU